UACGUAGGGCACAAGCGUUAUCCGGAAUUAUUGGGCGUAAAGAGCUCGUAGGCGGUUUGUCGCGUCUGCCGUGAAAGUCCGGGGCUUAACCCCGGAUCUGCGGUGGGUACGGGCAGACUAGAGUGCAGUAGGGGAGACUGGAAUUCCUGGUGUAGCGGUGAAAUGCGCAGAUAUCAGGAGGAACACCGAUGGCGAAGGCAGGUCUCUGGGCUGUAACUGACGCUGAGGAGCGAAAGCAUGGGGAGCGAACAGG
rnacentral:rRNA from 1 species